AACAUUCUCAAUAUCCAAGGAUGCAUGCCAAAAGAAAACAACUGGACAUAGUACAGCAAUGCUUUAAAAUGUAAAAUGACAUUUUACAUUUUUUGGCAUGCAUCCUUGGAUAUUGAGUAUGUUUA
rnacentral:miRNA from 1 species